rnacentral:rRNA from 1 species
GCACGGGUGAGUAACGCGUGAACAACCUGACCUGAAGAGGGGAAUAACAGCGAGAAAUUGUUGCUAAUACCGCAUAAGACCACAAUGUCGCAUGGCAAAGGGGUCAAAGAUUUAUCGCUUCAGGAGGGGUUCGCGUCCCAUUAGGUAGUUGGUGAGAUAACAGCCCACCAAGCCGACGAUGGGUAGCCGAGCUGAGAGGCUGAUCGGCCACACUGGAACUGAGACACGGUCCAGACUCCUACGGGAGGCAGCAGUGGGGAAUAUUGGGCAAUGGGCGCAAGCCUGACCCAGCAACGCCGCGUGAGGGAAGAAGGUCUUCGGAUUGUAAACCUCUGUCGCAAGGGACGAAGAAGUGACGGUACCUUGUGAGGAAGCCCCGGCUAACUACGUGCCAGCAGCCGCGGUAAUACGUAGGGGGCGAGCGUUGUCCGGAAUUACUGGGCGUAAAG